GAUGAACGCUGGCGGCGUGCUUAACACAUGCAAGUCGAACGAUGAAGCCCAGCUUGCUGGGAGGAUUAGUGGCGAACGGGUGAGUAACACGUGAGUAACCUGCCCUUGACUCUGGGAUAAGCCUGGGAAACUGGGUCUAAUACUGGAUAUGACUUCUCAUCGCAUGGUGGGGGGUGGAAAGAUUUAUUGGUCUUGGAUGGACUCGCGGCCUAUCAGCUUGUUGGUGAGGUAAUGGCUCACCAAGGCGACGACGGGUAGCCGGCCUGAGAGGGUGACCGGCCACACUGGGACUGAGACACGGCCCAGACUCCUACGGGAGGCAGCAGUGGGGAAUAUUGCAUAAUGGGCGCAAGCCUGAUGCAGCGACGCCGCGUGAGGGAUGACGGCCUUCGGGUUGUAAACCUCUUUCAGUAGGGAAGAAGCGAGAGUGACGGUACCUGCAGAAGAAGCGCCGGCUAACUACGUG
rnacentral:rRNA from 1 species